rnacentral:lncRNA from 1 species
AGACAUGCUCUGCUCUCCCAGAAAGAGCAUGUCUGUCUGUCAGUACUGUGAUGGAGUGUUUUUGUGUAAUCAGAUGCCUCCCAUGUCCUUCUGAAAUGAACUGACUUUGAAUAAGUCAAAUAAAAAAAAGUUAACAUUUUCAACAAGCUUUUUUUGUUAUUGUGGUAAUUUAUUAAGUGUAGAGAGAUUGUAAACACAUUUGGGUUCAAAUAUAUGCGUAUUUAUAAUUUUAAUAUUUAUUUUCUGUGUAUAAUGUGGCUGAAAAAUAUAAACUAUUGGAACCAAGACUUACAUAAGUGUCACGUAGACGCAGAUGCAGAAGGUGAGUUUAUUAACAAUGACAGGCAAAUUAACAUAACAGGGGAUCUAUACUGAACAUGAAAACAAACCAUUACUGCUGAUGACUGAGGCUACUGAGGGGUAAAUAAAGGGAGGUAAUCAAGGUGAUGAAGUCCAGGUGUGUGUAAUGAUGGGGAGCAGGUGUGCUUAAUUGAUACAUGCUGACCAGAUGCGUUGCGUGCGCUGCAAAAUAAAGGCACACGUUAUUCAAUCAUUGCACCCACACUGCUCGUGAGUGUCUGCGUAGUCAGGCGCUAAAAUAGAACUUGGUUCUAUUUGUGAUGCUCGACACACUGCAAGUCCUGCCUCUCCCAUCUCCUCAUUGUUUUUUAUGAGCAUGUACCCACGUGGGUGAUUGAAAGAUGAACUGAGGUCUACAAUCCAGUCGGUUGUGGUAAUGCACUUUAAAGUUGGUUGCCAACCGCCAUAUAAAGUCCGAAGAAGAAGCCUGAAGGAGGAGAGAUUACUAGAAACGAACUCUGUUGACCGUUUUAUUUGUGGAUUAGUUGGAGUAGAGGACCUUGUGCAUUUCAGUACACAUCUCGAUCGUACUGGACCGUGAAGAAGAGGACGGAGGUCUCUGGAGGGGGGGCAGCUACACCUCCAAAUCCUCCGGACUUUCCAGACACCUCACAGCGUGACGCACCAGUGGAAACACACA